rnacentral:rRNA from 1 species
UAACCUGCCCAAGAGAUCGGGAUAACACCUGGAAACAGAUGCUAAUACCGGAUAACAACAGAUGAUGCCUAUCAACUGUUUAAAAGAAUGGUUCUGCUAUCACUCUUGGAUGGACCUGCGGUGCAUUAGCUAGUUGGUAGGGUAACGGCCUACCAAGGCGAUGAUGCAUAGCCGAGUUGAGAGACUGAUCGGCCACAUUGGGACUGAGACACGGCCCAAACUCCUACGGGAGGCAGCAGGC